rnacentral:rRNA from 1 species
AUUGAACGCUGGCGGCAUGCCUUACACAUGCAAGUCGAACGGUAACAGGUCUUCGGAUGCUGACGAGUGGCGAACGGGUGAGUAAUACAUCGGAACGUGCCCGAGAGUGGGGGAUAACGAGGCGAAAGCUUUGCUAAUACCGCAUACGAUCUCAGGAUGAAAGCAGGGGACCGCAAGGCCUUGCGCUCACGGAGCGGCCGAUGGCAGAUUAGGUAGUUGGUGGGAUAAAAGCUUACCAAGCCGACGAUCUGUAGCUGGUCUGCGAGGACGACCAGCCACACGGGGACUGGGACACGGCCCAGACUCCUACGGGAGGCAGCAGUGGGGAAUUUUGGACAAUGGGCGCAAGCCUGAUCCAGCCAUGCCGCGUGAGUGAAGAAGGCCUUCGGGUUGUAAAGCUCUUUUGUCCGGAACGAAACGGGUGCGGUGAAUAUCCGCAUCUACUGACGGUACCGGAAGAAUAAGCACCGGCUAACUACGUGCCAGCCGCCGCCGUAAUAC